rnacentral:lncRNA from 1 species
GAGGGAGGCAGAGACACAGGCAGAGGGAGAAGCAGGCUCCCUGCAGGGACCUUGAUGCGGGACUCGAUCCCAGGACCCCGGAAUCACACCCAGAGCCCAAGGCAGAUGCUCAACCGCUGAGCCCCCGGGUGCCCCACUCACAGAGUCCUUUAAGGGGAUCUUUCUGAUAAUCUGGCUUCCACCCCCCAUUUUACCUAGAAGCAAGCUCUACAAGGUCAGAAAGGGCCCAGGAAGACCAAAUGGCAGAUGGGCUCCACGCAACCAGCGCAUCCCCGGGAGGGGCUCCCAACAGGCUUUGCCAGGCCCUGCCUCAGAGAAGACACAAGUUCAGCUCUCUCUGAAUCUGGUAAAGGGCCCCAUGGCCUCGGCACAGCCCCCUGAAGAAUGGCGCAGCUGUCCCAUGUGAGCAGUAAAUCACACAGAACCUGCAUGCACAGUCGGUUGCUGGGAUCCAAGGAGCUUGGCUGGGUCACCAGCAGGAUCACUGGAGUCACCACUGUGGGCCCGCCUUGUUCCAGGUGAUUCCAGGCACUGGUCACUUAAGCCACGCAACAACAACAGAAACGAGGGCACUGAGAAGUUAAAUCACCCCCAAAAUGUUCACCUGGAAAGUGUCGGGAGGGUUUCCAACCAGACCUCCACUCUAGACUGUCAUCAGCCUCUGGCAACUCAGCAAGUCUCAGGACCAUGUAGAGCAUGACCCUUUGGUAAAAGAAAACAGACCUAUUUAUUUGUGUGUACAUGUGCGUGGGGAGAAGAUAACCAAACAGUACUGUCUUAUACAAAAGAAUACGUGUGUGUUUACAAAAUUCUAUUUAAAUGAAGUUCUAUAACAGGCGAAAAUAAUCUAAUAUAUGGUAAGAAGAUAUCAGAACAAUGGUUGCCUGAAAAGGAAGGUAGGUGCUUUGUGGGUUUGAUAUUUGUGUUUGGUUUCUUACUUUUGUCCAAACCAUCAAUGCACUUAAAAAUUGCGUAUUUCAUUGGAAAUAGAUUUCUUAACAGACNACAAAAAAAAUGUAAACAAAUAUUAAACUCUAGUUCAUGAGCGCCUGGGUGGCUCAGUAGUUGAGUGUCUGCCUUCAGCUCAGGUUGUGAUCCCGGGGUCCUGGGAUCGAGUCCUCCACAUCAGACUCUCCACAGGGAGCCUGCUUCUUCCUCUGCCUGUGUUUCUGCCUCUCUCUGUGUGUCUCAUGAAUAAAUAAAUAAUCUUUAAAAAUUUUUUAAAAAUA